AGUGAACGCUGGCGGUAGGCCUAACACAUGCAAGUCGAACGGCAGCACAGUAAGAGCUUGCUCUUACGGGUGGCGAGUGGCGGACGGGUGAGGAAUACAUCGGAAUCUACUUUUUCGUGGGGGAUAACGUAGGGAAACUUACGCUAAUACCGCAUACGACCUACGGGUGAAAGCAGGGGAUCUUCGGACCUUGCGCGAUUGAAUGAGCCGAUGUCGGAUUAGCUAGUUGGCGGGGUAAAGGCCCACCAAGGCGACGAUCCGUAGCUGGUCUGAGAGGAUGAUCAGCCACACUGGAACUGAGACACGGUCCAGACUCCUACGGGAGGCAGCAGAGGGGAAUAUUGGACAAUGGGCACAAGCCUGAUCCAGCCAUACCGCGUGGGUGAAGAAGGCCUUCGGGUUGUAAAGCCCUUUUGUUGGGAAAGAAAAGCAGCAGGUUAAUACCCCGCUGUUCUGACGGUACCCAAAGAAUAAGCACCGGCUAACUUCGUG
rnacentral:rRNA from 1 species